GGACAGAUUGUUGUACGUCGUGAAGCAUUUGGUGAUUUUUGUAAUCACUAAUGGUCUAAAGUCAUGUUAGCAUGUUCCAAAUCAGCUAACCAUAUCUAGCCUCAAUAUUACAAAUGCUAACAUGUCUCGCCAUUAGCUCUGGCAUGUUAAUGUGUGUAGUUAUGAGUUUAACAAUGUUUUACAUGAAUUAGUUAGAAAUAUUUAUGAGCUAGUGACAGAGCUAAUCUGCUACUUAAGAUAAUAUUUAAUUUGAACAUUUUGGUUUUCUUGGUACUUUUUUUAUAAUGUGUGCAUGUAUAAAACAUACGUUGUCACUGCCAGUGAAGAAUAAGAGAACCGUUCCAUUUUUACGUAAAUUAGUUCGGUGUUUUUGUCAUCACAAACGGAUCUUUGGAAGCUUUGCUGAUGUAGAACAAAAAGAACGCGAACAAGAUGAAAACACACAAAAUGUUAAAAGUUACAUAGCGUCCGAUUUAAGGCUUCAAGGAGCACAGACGGCAAAAAAAAAAAAAAAAAAUCACAGAAAAUCCACAUUAGUUUGUUCAUACAUUGAUCAAAAAAGUGACACAAAGGACAACUUUUGUGUCAGGUUUUUUUUUUUUUUUUUUUAAGAGGUUUGUAAAUGACAAGAUGAGAAAUCAGAAAGAUUCUUCUUCCAAAUGUUCACUUUAAAACUGGAUCGUUUUGGCAUGUUCAUUUUUUUUUCUCCAUUGUAUGGAAUUUAAAAAAAAAAAAGCUUUUCUCUAAUAUAAAGAAAAACCCUUAAAAUCUGUAAAUUUAUCACCAAGAGAUUUUGGACAGUAACUGCAACAAGUAAUUUAGGAGAAUGAAGUAAAUGAAUUUGAAAGAGACAUUUUCAUUUUGAGGGAAAUGUUCACAUGAUUUUUUUUUAAAAAGUGAAAAACUUGUGACGUAAGAACAUGAGACAGAAGCUAAUUAGGUAAAGACAUAAUUUUACAAUAGUCCUAAUACUUUAAUAAAAGAUGUCAUAGUAUGAAAAUUCAAACGUCAAGUUGCAAAACUUGUAAAAUCACAAUUUUAGAAUUUUUUUAAAAUAAGUUAUAACAAUUUUAAAACUGUAAGUUUACAACUAACACUAAAAUACGACUAAUAAGACAUAAUGGAAGUUGCAGUGUUACAAUAAAACAAAUUUUUAUCAACAAAAUUCUGACUUUAUUCUAACGGUGAUUUCAGUGACGUUUACUUCAGUGUCACUGAAAUGUUACAGAUGUUUUCUGAUCGCUCAUUCUGUGUUGUGACCAAAAAACAUUUAAGAUUUUUAAUCCGGCAGCUCCAACAGGAGUCCCAUGAUGUUAAACUCCACCUGCCCUGUACGCUGAGGAGAAUGAAACAAACAUAUUUACCUCAAAUAGUUUUGUGUGUUUUUAAACUUAUUUUCCCUUUAUUCAUCAUUUCUGACAUGUUUUAACUUACACAAGUUUUUCAAGUCACUUCCAGUUUGAAGAAAUUUUGAUGA